rnacentral:rRNA from 1 species
CAUACGAUCUAAGGAUGAAANCGGGGGAUCGCAAGACCUCGCGCGAUUGGAGCGGCCGAUAUCAGAUUAGGUAGUUGGUGAGGUAAAGGCUCACCAAGCCAACGAUCUGUAGCUGGUCUGAGAGGACGACCAGCCACACUGGAACUGAGACACGGUCCAGACUCCUACGGGAGGCCAGCAGUGGGGAAUUUUGGACAAUGGACGCAAGUCUGAUCCAGCCAUUCCGCGUGCAGGAUGAAAGGCCCUCGGGUUGUAGACUGCUUUUGUACGGAACGAAAAGGUUUGUCUUAAUACGAUGAGCUCAUGACGGUACCGUAAGAAUAAGCACCGGCUAACUACGUG